rnacentral:rRNA from 1 species
CCCUUAGACGUUCUGGGCCGCACGCGCGCUACACUGACGAAGGCAACGAGCUUUCCUUUACCGAAAGGUACGGGUAAUCUUUUGAAACUUCGCCGUGCUGGGGAUAGAUCCUUGCAAUUUUUGAUCUUAAACGAGGAAUGCCUAGUAAGCGCAAGUCAUCAACUUGCGUUGAUUACGUCCCUGCCCUUUGUACACACCGCCCGUCGCUCCUACCGAUUGGGUGUGCUGGUGAAAUGUUCGGAUCGGCCGUUUGUCGCGGUUUCCGCGUCAUGUGGCUGAGAAGUUCAUUAAACCCUCCCACCUAGAGGAAGGAGAAGUCGUAACA